AAAGAGAGAGGGGGGGUCUCGGAGGCCAUAGGACUCGGGUGAAGAUGGCGGCAGCCGAGGCCGCGAACUGCAUCAUGGAGGUUUCCUGUGGCCAAGCAGAAAGUAGUGAAAAGCCCAAUGCUGAGGACAUGACAUCCAAAGACUACUACUUUGACUCCUAUGCCCACUUUGGCAUCCACGAGGAGAUGCUGAAGGAUGAGGUGCGGACCCUCACAUACCGCAACUCCAUGUUUCACAAUCGGCAUCUCUUCAAAGACAAGGUGGUCCUGGAUGUGGGCUCCGGCACCGGCAUCCUCUGCAUGUUCGCUGCCAAGGCAGGGGCUCGCAAGGUUAUUGGAAUUGAGUGUUCCAGUAUCUCCGAUUAUGCUGUGAAGAUUGUCAAAGCCAACAAGUUAGACCAUGUGGUGACCAUCAUCAAAGGCAAGGUGGAGGAGGUGGAGCUGCCUGUGGAGAAGGUGGACAUCAUCAUCAGCGAGUGGAUGGGCUACUGUCUCUUCUAUGAGUCCAUGCUCAACACUGUGCUGCACGCUCGCGACAAGUGGCUGGCACCCGAUGGCCUCAUCUUCCCAGACCGUGCCACCCUGUAUGUGACAGCCAUUGAGGAUCGACAGUAUAAAGACUACAAGAUCCACUGGUGGGAGAACGUGUAUGGCUUUGAUAUGUCCUGCAUUAAAGACGUGGCCAUCAAGGAGCCCCUGGUGGAUGUGGUGGACCCAAAGCAGCUGGUCACCAAUGCCUGCCUCAUAAAGGAGGUGGACAUCUAUACAGUCAAGGUGGAGGACCUGACCUUCACCUCCCCCUUCUGCCUGCAAGUGAAGAGGAAUGACUACGUGCAUGCACUGGUGGCCUACUUCAACAUAGAAUUUACCCGAUGCCACAAGAGGACCGGCUUCUCAACCAGUCCUGAGUCCCCAUAUACACACUGGAAGCAGACUGUGUUCUACAUGGAGGACUAUCUAACAGUGAAGACUGGCGAGGAAAUCUUUGGCACCAUUGGAAUGAGGCCCAACGCCAAAAACAAUCGUGACUUGGACUUUACCAUCGACCUGGACUUCAAGGGUCA